AGCUGAGGCUCUGACAAGGAGGUGACUGAUCUCGACAGAUCUCUGAAACUAAGCAGGACUGGGCCUGGUUAGGAUUUGGAUGGGAGACCAAUGGGAAUACCAGUGGCCACAGGAA
rnacentral:rRNA from 1 species